rnacentral:rRNA from 1 species
GACGUAGGGCGCGAGCGUUGUCCGGAUUUAUUGGGCGUAAAGAGCUCGUAGGCGGCUUGUCGCGUCGGCUGUGAAAUCCCGUGGCUCAACUGCGGGUCUGCAGCCGAUACGGGCAGGCUAGAGUUCGGUAGGGGAGACUGGAAUUCCUGGUGUAGCGGUGAAAUGCAUAGAUAUCAGGAGGAACACCAGCGGCGAAGGCGGCACUCUGGGCUGGAACUGACGCUGAGGAGCGAAAGCGUGGGGAGCGAACAGG